rnacentral:rRNA from 1 species
UACGGGGGGGCAAGCGUUGUUCGGAAUUACUGGGCGUAAAGGGUUCGUAGGUGGCUCGUUAAGUCAGACGUGAAAUCCCUCGGCUCAACCGAGGAACUGCGUCUGAGACUGAUGAGCUCGAGUGCAGGAGAGGAACGCGGAAUUCCAGGUGUAGCGGUGAAAUGCGUAGAUAUCUGGAGGAACACCAAUGGCGAAGGCGGAUCUCUGGGCCAUUACUGACGCUGAGGAGCGAAAGCUAGGGGAGCAAACAGGG